rnacentral:misc_RNA from 1 species
UCUGAAGAUAAAGUUAAUUCAAAAUGCGAUCUUGAUGAAUCAAAGUGCGAUUUGUUGAAAAAUGAAAAACUAGAUUUACAUAGAAUAUCUGAUUAUCUUUGCGAGGAAAUGGGUGACGUAAAUGAUUUGUUGCUUGAGAGAAUACCUAAUCUUCAAAAGAUAUUUGAUUCUUAUGCCAUAAGUACUUCAAGAAAGUUGAGGGGUAGAUCUAUUGGUUAUAAUCUGCAAAAGUAUUCAAUAAAGAUAGCUCGAAAUGUUGGUACGCAAUGUGCUUUGGUUUUUACUGCAAACCUAAUAACUGAUAAGAUUCUUCACAAAUUGAACUUUGUGAACAUUAAACGUAAAGCGUGGAACACGUUUCAAAUUGAUGGUAAAAAAAUAUUCGAAAAUUAUCAAGACGAAGAAGAUUGUGGAAAUACUUUCUACUUAGAUUUAACAAAUUAAAAAUUAUUAAAUACAUAUCAAAAGUUACUAUCUUUUUCUAAAAAAAGUGGAUCGUUCAUCUUGAGCGAAAUUUCGAAAACACGAAGAAGCACGAGUUGUUGCAGUGGAGAACGAUGGGUAGGAAUUUGACAAGACGGUAUGCCAGACCAAACAUAUGGUGGAAAUUUAGGACAAUAAUUUCCUAUAACUAUUUGUUUUUCAAAAUUUAUUGGCCAAUGCAAUUCAAAAA